AUUGAACGCUGGCGGCAGGCCUAACACAUGCAAGUCGAACGAGUAGCGGACGGGUGAGUAAUGUAUGGGAAACUGCCUGAUGGAGGGGGAUAACUACUGGAAAAGGUAGCUACAACCGCAUACCAUAGGCUGUGCCCAGAUGGGAUUAGCUAGUAGGUGGGGUAACGGCUCACCUAGGCGACGAUCCCUAGCUGGUCUGAGAGGAUGACUAGCCACACGUGAACUUAGACACGGUCCAGACUCCUACGUGAGGCAGCAGUGGGGAAUAUUGCACAAUGGGCGCAAGCCUGAUGCAGCCAUGCCGCUUGUAUGAAGAAGGCCUUCGGGUUGUAAAGUACUUUCAGCGGGGAGGCGUUACCCGCAGAAGAAGCACCGGCUAACUCCGUGCCAGCAGCCGCGGUAAUUC
rnacentral:rRNA from 1 species